UUCCAAUUCAUCUUGCUGGGCAAUAAAGCAUAUGCAACCAAUAUUUAAGAUACUGGGGAGCACUGCAUCCCAGCAGCAACCUCUGCAGCACUUGGUGGGGGAGACGAGAGAGGCUACACAAGAUGAAUAGGCCAAGUCCACUUGAAAGAAUCCACCAUGGAUCACAUCACUGGAGACACAGAGGAAGGACUAGGACUGAAGAAUUGGUCCAGGUUAUCUGCAAUGUACCAAAAAGUGGCUUCAACUUUCAGCCCAGAUCUGCUACAUGUCUCCACAUUCAACCUCAGGAUUUGAAAGACUCAGUGUCCACUUUGGUGUCCCAUCUGGCAUCCAGAAAUCGAU
rnacentral:lncRNA from 1 species